rnacentral:lncRNA from 1 species
GAAGCCUCAAGUCAAGCCUGACCGAUUUCAGAAGGGCCAGUUGUGUGCCUGCCGCUUUUUUGAAGGCUUAAAAAACAAACAAACCAAGUUUCCACUCUUCUCCUGGUUCUGUGGGAAGCUUCUUCUGAGGAUCUGGAACUGAAGAACGGAUGUUUACGUUCUCCAUUCUGGAGCGGCUUUAGUUAAGUUUGGGGGUUAAGGGGCUUCUAGAGCCUGAGCUGAGAACUCAGACCCAGAAUCUGGGAAAGAUGCGCGUUCAGUUCUGGCAGGCAUGGAUGUGCAUGAUGGGAGGGAGCCUGCGUGCUCACGUCAGAGCCAUCGGGGGACAUGCACGUGCGCGUCACACACCGACACACCCAGCAUCUAACUGCAGAAGCGCAGCCAACCUCAGACCCUUGAGCCAGUGACCCCAGUGGUCAGGGCAGUGAAGCCACCGCACAAGUCCAACCAGGAGCUAGCCCGUAUUUUGUUUCUGCCAGGACAACGAAGCAUCUAGUUAGCACCGAGUGAAUACACGUUGCUCCCCUGUGCUGUGAUUCUGGGUGAAGUGUGUGUGUGUGU